rnacentral:rRNA from 1 species
AUGAUCAUCUUGCAUUCCGAGUUAUUCCUUACAUUAUGUAUCCUAUGUCGGAAUUUUAUCAUUCUGACUAAAUCAUUGUCUUGUUUAUCUAGGAUGGUCAACACGCGCGCUAACCCUGCUUCCCAAGAGCAGGCCGAAGGCAGUGAAGCCAGGGAUGCAAAUCUGCCUCAUCCUCCUUCACUAGCCGAGGUUAUGAUGGAAGCUGAGAGAAACAAGCGGGAGACGAACCGUUUGUUGGAGCGUAUUGAACAGAAUACAGCACACCAUCAGAGGGCUAACGUGGUGUCACUCAGUGAUUUUAUCAAAUUGCAUCCACCCACGUUCCACCACUCCGUUGAGCCUCUCAACGCUGAUGACUGGCUUCGCAGUAUCUCUCACAAGCUGCGUUCCGCGCUAGUAGCUGAGGCUGACAAGGUCACCUUUGCUGCAUAUCAUCUUGAAGGCCCCGCCAGUCUAUGGUGGGAGAAUUAUGGAGCUAUGCGCCCAGCGGGCCAUGUCACCACUUGGGCUGAGUUCAGCGAGGCUUUCCGUGAACAUUACAUUCCGGAGGGUCUCAUGGACCGUAAACGUGAAGAAUUUUGCAGUUUCACCCAAGGCCGACUUUCUGUGGAUGCCUAUAGCAGAGAGUUUGGUAAUCUCGCCCGAUAUGCAACUGAGGAAGUGUCUACCGACGCCAAGAAGCAAGCAAGGUUCCGUAAGGGCCUUAGUCCUGAGCUUCGCCGCGACCUCCGUCUGCAUGAGUGCACAUCUUUUUCGAAACUUGUCAACAAAGCCAUCAGUGCUGAAACUGGUCAGACUGACUAUGACGCAACACGCAAGCAUGGACGUGACAUGGGUUCCUCAUCCGGUGCUGGUCCUCAGAAGCACCGCGUGUGGGUACCCAACACCGCCCUGCCACCCAGGUUCACACCGAGGCCAUCCUUCCAGGCGCCUCGCCCUGUUCAACAGUCUGCACCGGCCAAGCCUAUGGGGGUCCAACCAAUAAUGCUCCUCCACGUACCAGUUCCGUGA